rnacentral:tRNA from 1 species
CGCGGCGUGGAGCAGUGGUAGCUCGUCAGGCUCAUAUCCUGAAGGUCGCAGGUUCGAAUCCUGCCGCCGCUACCA